rnacentral:lncRNA from 1 species
UUCUCUUCUUUCUUUAUUUAUCUACAAUUUCCUGAAAUAAGAUAAAUAAGCGAUUAAUACUACGAAAAUAAACAAAAGAUAAGCACUUAAAUAUGCAAAAAUAUGGACUAAUCAAACUUCCUCAUACCUAUCUUUUGCUCGUCCUCGAGCAAAAAUCAAAAGAAAAGAAAUAAACUAAGAAAACUAGAUGCGAUUCCUAGGCUCCUUUUCGUAGGCGUGACGGGUGAUUUUAGGUUCACCAACCCGUUAAACUCGUAGACGAUCUCUACAAGAGGAGUUUUGUCUCCUAAGGGUUUACAGAAGAUAUACCCAUAAAAUCUUCGAGACAUUCUAGCAAGUGUCUACUCGACUCUACUCUAAUUUCGUUGGUGUUAACAAAAAGCGUUUUUAAGGAAAAUACGACUUAAAGACUCAUCUACUAAUAAUCAAGAUACAGUUGUCUCUAAUCUACUUGCAUCGACACAAAGAUUUACUAGAAAUCCAAGGAGUGUAAGUAAUUUAAGGCCUUUGAUGGAUCCUAAUUGUCUAAGAACACUUUCUCUUUUUCAACCAAUUUUGAACUGACCCAAUCUCUAUCGAAACAAAUAUCUAGCCAAACUUCGCAAACUCUUAUUUAUUAUUUUUUUUCUUUCUUUUUUUUUCUCUUUUUUUUUUGCAUUGACUUUAUUUUGUCCGUUUUCUUAGGCAAACAAUGUUACCCAUGUAGCGAGCUUUGGGUCAGUGACUCCCAAACCAAACGGUCUUAGGGCACUAGGUUUUGAAAUCCCCCUACGGACUUAAUUGCUCGAGUAACAAAGGCCACAAAACGAGACUAGCCAAUCUACUUUUGCCCAUUUAUCUAAAGAUUUUAUCUAUAAAGAACAAUGGGUAUUGAAGUAGUUAUUCCUUUUUUUUAUCCUAUCUCUCUUUUUUUUUUCUUUUUUUUAUUCGCAAAGGUUCGAUUCGACAUUGUUUCAACAUGUGGGUUCUCUCUCAGGUAUCGAAUAAUAUCACUAGACAAUCUCUCCAUCAAAGGUCUUGUGCAAGGUGUGUGCCAUCUUGGAAUUACGAGUAUUUGAUGGAUCCUAAUUGUCCAAGAACACUUUCUCUUUUUCAACCAAUUUUGAACUGACCCAAUCUCUAUCGAAACAAAUAUCUAGCCAAACUUCACAAACUCUUAUUUCUUCUUCUUUUUUUUUUUUUUUUUUUUUUUGCAUUGACUUUAUUUUGUCCGUUUUCUUAGGCAAACAAUGUUACCCAUGUAGCGAGCUUUGGGUCAGUGACUCCCAAACCAAACGGUCUUAGGGCACUAGGUUUUGAAAUCCCCCUACGGACUUAAUUGCUCGAGUAACAAAGGCCACAAAACGAGACUAGCCAAUCUACUUUUGCCCAUUUAUCUAAAGAUUUUAUCUAUAAAGAACAGUGGGUAUUGAAGUAGCUUAUUCCUUUUUCCUUUUUUUUCCUUUUUUUUUCCUUUUUUUUUGCUAUUUUUUAUUCGCAAAGGUUCGAUUCGACAUUGUUUCAACAUGUGGGUUCUCUCUCAAGUAUCGAAUAAUAUCACUAGACAAUCUCUCCAUCAAAGGUCUUGUGCAAAAGUGUGUGCCAUCUUGGAAUUUAAAGUACAAAUCGGUCGAUACAAGCUUCGAAAAGACAACCUUACUCAACUACGUUCAAAUUAUCUAAAAGACACUACAUAUAUAUACUUUUCGAAAACAUGCUAAACACCAACUACUCCUAAAGUUCGAGUGAGGGAAAGACAAAUUAGCUAAAAGUAUCUCUAUUUUUGGAUUUUUCUAAUUUUUCAUUUUUUAGGGUUUUUAUUUUUUUAGAAAUUACACUAAAGCCCUCCCCAUACCUAAAUCAUGCAUUGUCCUCAAUGUAUGCAAAAGAGAGAAUUGAAAUGAGAGAGUAAAGAGGAAAAAUACCUGAAUAGGAGAUGAAGGGAUUUUUAUUAACUACUGAAGCAACUUACAUGAUCAAGGGUCGAUGAGGUGGAUGACCUCUUCCUCCGAAUCAACAGGCAAUUCUAAAAAUGGUUUAAGACGUUGACCAUUAACUUUAAAAACAUUACCAUUUUUAGGAUCCUGAAUUUCAAUAGCACCGUGAGGAAACACAACUUGAACAAUGUAAGGACCGUCCCAUCUAGAACGCAACUUGCCGGGAAACAAAUGAAGCCUAGAAUUGUAGAGAAGAACUUUUUGGCUAGGGUUUUUUCAUUUUUUAAGAAUUACACUAAAGCCCUCCCCGUACCUAAAUCAUGCAUUGUCCUCAAUGUAUGCAAAAAAGAGAAUUAAAAUGAGUGAGUAAGGAGGAAAAAUACUUCAAUAGGAGAUGAAGGGGAUUUUUAUUAACUACUGAAACAACUUACAUGAUCAAGGGUCGAUGAGGUGGAUGACCUCUUCCUCCGAAUCAACAGGCAAUUCUAAAAAUGGUUUAAGGCGUUGACCAUUAACUUUAAAAACAUUACCAUUUUUAGGAUCCUGAAUUUCAAUAGCACCAUGAGGAAACACAACUUGAACAAUGUAAGGACCGUCCCAUCUAGAACGCAACUUACCGGGAAACAAAUGAAGCCUAGAAUUGUAGAGAAGAACUUUUUGGCCGGGAGAAAAGGAUUUUCUCAAAAUAGUUUUAUCAUGGAAGGCCUUAGUUCUCUCUUUGUAAAUUUUAGCAUUUUCGUAGGCAUCAUUCCUAAGCUCUUCUAGCUCGGUCAAUUGUAACUUCCGAUGACUACCGGCGGUGGGUAAGUCGAAGUUCAAUUCUCUAAUGGCCCACAUGGCCCUAUGCUCUAACUCAACCGGCAAAUGGCAAGCUUUACCAUACACGAGUCUAUAAGGAGACAUUCCUAAGACGGUCUUAAAGGCGGUCCGAUAGGCCCAUAAGGCAUCUAUCAACUUGGUUGACCAAUCCUUCCUAUUCGAGUUGACCGUCUUUUCUAAGAUUUGCUUAAUUUGCCGGUUUGAAACCUCUACUUGGCCACUAGUUUGAGGAUGAUAAGGGGUAGCAAGCCUAUGAGUGAUGGAGUACUUCUUAAGAAGUGACUCGAAUUGACGGUUCUUGAAAUGCGUCCCUUGGUCACUAAUGAUAGCCCUAGGUGUGCCAAAUCGAGAAAAGAUAUUCUCUUUAAGGAAUCGAAGGACAACUUUGUUGUCAUUGGACCGGGUCGGGAUGGCUUCUACCCACUUAGAAACGUAAUCAACCGCGAGAAGGAUGUAAAGGUGGGCUUAAUUUGCCGGUUUGAAACCUCUACUUGGCCACUAGUUUGAGGAUGAUAAGGGGUAGCAAGUCUAUGAGUGAUGGAGUACUUCUUAAGAAGAGACUCGAAUUGACGAUUCUUAAAAUGCGUCCCUUGGUCACUAAUGAUAGCCCCAGGUGUUCCAAAUCGAGAAAAGAUAUUCUCCUUAAGGAAUCGAAGGAUGAUUUUGUUGUCAUUAGACCGGGUCGGGAUGGCUUCUACCCAUUUGGAAACGUAAUCAACCGCGAGAAGGAUGUAGAGGUGGCCAACGAACUAGGGAAUGGGCCCAUGAAAUCUAUGCCCCACACAUCAAAGAGCUCUAUAACAAGGAUUGGGCUCAUAGGCAUCAUGUUCCUCCUAGUGAUUCUUCCUAGAUGUUGACACCUACUACAUGCGGAACAAUACUCGGCGGCAUCCUUAAACAAACUAGGCCAAUAAAAACCGCAUUGGAGGAUUUUAGCGGCGGUCUUCUUCGCACUAAAAUGACCUCCACAUGCUUGAUCGUGACAAAACGAGAGGAUGCUAUGAAACUCACUAUUUGGGACACACCUCCUAAUGAUUUGAUCGGGACAAUGUUUAAAGAGAUACGGGUCGUCCCAAAAGAAAUGUUUCACUUGAGAAAAGAACUUGGCUUUAUCAUUCUUGGACCAUGUCGAGGGAAUGUCACCGGUUGCUAAGUAAUUGACUAUGUCGGCGAACCAAGGAAGAGUGGAAAUCGAGAGAAGGUGAUCGUCNNGGUCAACCUUAGCCACACCUCCUAAUGAUUUGGUCGGGACAAUGUUUAAAGAGAUACGGGUCGUCCCAAAAAAAAUGUUUCACUUGAGAAAAGAACUUGGAUUUAUCAUUCUUGGACCAUGUCGAAGGAAUGUCACCGGUUGCUAGGUAAUUGACAAUGUCGACGAACCAAGGGAGAGUGGAAAUCGAGAGAAGGUGUUUGUCGGGAAAGGACUCGCUUAAGGGCAAGUCAUUAGUGGAUUCAACCACUAAUCGAGAGAGAUGAUCGGCGACGACAUUCUCACAACCAUUCUUAUCCCGAAUCUCUAAGUCAGACUCUUGGAGCAACAAAACCCAUCUAAUUAAGCGGGCUUUUGAGUCUUUUUUCGAGAAAAGGUAUUUAAGAGCGGCAUGGUCGGUGUAAACAAUGAUUUUGGACCCGAUAAGAUAAGAGCGAAACUUUUCUAGGGCAAAGACUAUGGCUAGAAGUUCCUUCUUGGUGGUAGAGUAAUUGAGUUGAACAUCAUUUAAGGUCUUACUAGCGUAGUAAAUGACAUGAGGCCUCUUAUCUAUUCGUUGUCCUAAAACUGCUCCUAUGGCAUAGUCGGAUGCGUCACACAUAAGCUCAAAAGGUUGACUCCAAUCGGGAGACUUCAUGAUCGGGGCCGAAGUCAAUUCUCUCUUAAGGUCUUCGAAGGCAUGAACACACUCGCUUGUGAACUCGAAUUUGACAUCCUUAGCUAGAAGGUUGGUCAAAGGUCGGGCCUUUUUGCUAAAAUCUUGGAUGAAUCUACGAUAAAAUCCCGCAUGUCCAAGGAAAGAACGAAUUUCCUUUACGGACUUGGGAGGUGGGAGAUUAGCUAUUAGGUCGACCUUAGCCUUGUCUACUUCGAUUCCUUUUUCAGAAAUUUUGUGUCCUAAAACGAUUCCCUCCUUAACCAUGAAAUGACAUUUCUCCCAAUUUAACACUAGAUCCGUUUCCUCACAUCUUUUCAACACUCGAUCUAGAUUGUUAAGGCAUUGGUGAAAAGAUGGUCCAAAGAUGGAAAAGUCAUCUAUGAAGACUUCUAGAAAGUCACCUAUCAUUUCCGAGAAAAUGCUAUUCAUGCACCUUUGGAACGUGGAUGGGCCCGUGGUUAGGCCGAAAGCUAAGCGUCUAUAAGCGAAGGUUCCAAAAGGGCAAGUGAAGGUGGUCUUUUCUUGGUCUUCCGGUGCAAUCGGGAUUUGAAAAUAUCCUGAGUAACCAUCUAAAAAGCAAUAGAAAGCAUGACCCGCUAACCGUUCUAGCGUUUGAUCGAUAAAAGGCAAAGGAAAAUGAUCUUUCCUAGUGACGGCAUUGAGCUUCCUAAAAUCUAUGCACAUUCUCCAACCGGAUUGGACACGUGUUGGAACUUGCUCAUUGUUCUCAUUCGUCACUAAAGUGAUGCCCGACUUCUUAGGCACUACAUGGAUGGGACUCACCCACUUACUAUCAGAAAUGGGAUAAAUGAUCCCAUUAUCUAAGCAUUUAAAACUCUCUUUCUUAACUACCUCCAUCAUGGGAAGAUUUUUCCUCCUUUGAGGUUCUCUCACGGGCUUUGCAUCUUCUACCAAAUGAAUCCUAUGUUGGACAAUCGCCGGGCUAAUUCCUUUAAUGUCCGACAUACUCCACCCUAUCGCUCCCUUAUGCUUUCUAAGGAUUCCUAAAAGUUCUUCCUCUUGUGAUGUAGUUAAAUUAGAGGCAAUGAUAACGGGGUAUGAUUCAUUAGGGCCUAGAAAAGCAUACUUAAGAGUGUCAGGAAGAGGCUUGAGUUCUAACUCCGGUGGUUGUGACUCAACGGUCUUAUUUGGUAAAGGCAACUUCUCGGGUUCAACAUCACGCUCUUGACUCGUUGUCGGAAUGGUGGAUUCUAACAUUUGGUUGACCUCAUGUGUGUAGUCGGAAACAUCUCAAUCCUCUCCAAAAUGUUUUAAGCAAAAUUCAAGGGCAUCUUUAGGAUUCAUGAGAUCUUGAUCAACUAUUUCAUCAAUUAGAUUAACGUCCAAAGGUUGAUCAUAGAUAUCAUCGGAUUGUUUCCCCACAUGAAAAAUGUUGAGGUCGAUUGUCAUGUUACCAAAUGUUAGCUUCAUUAAGCUGUUCCUACAAUUAAUCAACGCGUUGGAUGUAGCUAAAAAUGGUCGUCCUAGGAUGAUGGGAAUUUGAUUCUUUGGGUUCUUAACCGGCUCGGUCUCUAGGACGACAAAAUCUACGGGAAAAACAAAGUCACCUACUUUAAUUAGCACGUCUUCGAUCAUUCCCUUAGGAAUUUUCACGGAUCAAUCGGCUAAUUGAAGUGUGACAUUGGUUUGGCGGAGCUCCCCUAAACCUAAAGCUUGGUAGACAGAAUAUGCUAGGAUUUAGUUGACUAUUUCAAGAGAUCACAAAUCUAUACUAAUCACAAGCUCAAUGAUUCUUUAUUUCCCAAAAGCUUAAAAGCAUGUGGUGGUACUUACAAGAGUCAUUCAACUUGGAGAACAUAAAUUAAAAAGAUAAUACAAGAUUAAGCUAAAAGAGAUUUGCAUAGAAAUUAAAAAGUGUAUACAAGCUUGGAAAGGAAAUUGGGGCUAGCAAAAUGUAAAUCUAUCUAAGAUACUAACUAUAGAAAUGACUAGGUAGAAAAGGUGGGUAGGUAGCUAGGUAGGUCAUUACAAGUAAAGAGAAGGGGGUAUUUAUAACUAAAGAAUUAGGGUUUAGGGGUAGGGUGGCUAAAUCUUGACCAUCCAUGUGCCUUGUGUGUUGGGUAGAUCAUAGACCUCCAUGUGUCCCCUUACUUGCCAACUCUUUUUUUUCUUCUUUUCUUUUCUUUUUCUUCCCCUUUUUUGCACUUUCUCUUCUUUCUUUAUUUAUCUACAAUUUCCUGAAAUAAGAUAAAUAAGCGAUUAAUACUACGAAAAUAAACAAAAGAUAAGCACUUAAAUAUGCAAAAAUAUGGACUAAUCAAACUUCCCCAUACCUAUCUUUUGCUCGUCCUCGAGUAAAAAUCAAAAGAAAAGAAAUAAACUAAGAAAACUAAAUGCGAUUCCUAGGCUCCUUUUCGUAGGCGUGACGGGUGAUUUUAGGUUCACCAACCCGUUAAACUCGUAGACGAUCUCUACAAGAGGAGUUUUGUCUCCUAAGGGUUUACAGAAGAUAUACCCAUAAAAUCUUCGAGACAUUCUAGCAAGUGUCUACUCGACUCUACUCUAAUUUCGUUGGUGUUAACAAAAAGCGUUUUUAAGGAAAAUACGACUUAAAGACUCAUCUACUAAUAAUCAAGAUACAGUUGUCUCUAAUCUACUUGCAUCGACACAAAGAUUUACUAGAAAUCCAAGGAGUGUAAGUAAUUUAAGGCCUUUGAUGGAUCCUAAUUGUCUAAGAACACUUUCUCUUUUUCAACCAAUUUUGAACUGACCCAAUCUCUAUCGAAACAAAUAUUUAGCCAAACUUCACAAACUCUUAUUCUUUUUUUUUUCUUUUUUUUCUUUUUUUUUUGCAUUGACUUUAUUUUGUCCGUUUUCUUAGGCAAACAAUGUUACCCAUGUUGCGAGCUUUAGGUUAGUGACUCCCAAACCAAACGGUCUUAGGGCACUAGGUUUUGAAAUCCCCCUACGGACUUAAUUGCUCGAGUAACAAAGGCCACAAAACGAGACUAGCCAAUCUACUUUUGCCCAUUUAUCUAAAGAUUUUAUCUAUAAAGAACAAUGGGUAUUGAAGUAGCUUAUUCCUUUUUCCUUUUUUUUGCUAUUUUUUAUUCGCAAAGGUUCGAUUCGACAUUGUUUCAACAUGUGGGUUCUCUCUCAGGUAUCGAAUAAUAUCACUAGGAAAUCUCUCCAUCAAAGGUCUUGUGCAAAGUGUGUGCCAUCUUGGAAUUUAGAGUACAAAUCGGUCGAUACAAGUUUCAUAAAGACAACCUUGUGUGUUGGGUAGAUCAUAGCCCUCCAUGUGCCCCCUUACUUGCCAACUCUUUUUUUCUUCUUUUCUUUUCUUUUUCUUCCCCUUUUUUGCACUUUCUCUUCUUUCUUUAUUUAUCUACAAUUUCCUGAAAUAAAAUAAAUAAGCGAUUAAUACUACGAAAAUAAACAAAAAAUAGGCACUUAAAUAUGCAAAAAUAUGGACUAAUCAAACUUCCCCAUACCUAUCUUUUGCUCGUCCUCGAGUAAAAAUCAAAAGAAAAGAAAUAAACUAAGAAAACUAGAUGCGAUUCCUAGGCUCCUUUUCGUAGGCGUGACGGGUGAUU